GGAUAGCGGAGAAAUUCCAAUCGAACUCGGAGAUAGCUGGUUCUCCUCGAAAUAGUUUUAGGACUAGCCUUGUUAAGUAGUAUAUGGGGGUAGAGCACUGAAGGAGCUAGGGGCCAAACCAGGUUACUGAACUCUAUCAAACUCCGAAUACCAUAUACGUAAAAACAGGAGUCAGACUGCGGGAGCUAAGUUCCGUGGUCAAAAGGGAAAGAGCCCAGAUCGUCAAUUAAGGUCCCAAAGAUAUAGUUAAGUGGAAAACGAUGUGAUUUUGCGUAAACAACCAGGAUGUUGGCUUAGAAGCAGCCAUUCAUUUAAAGAGUGCGUAAUAGCUCACUGGUCGAGUGAAGUUGCGCGGAAAAUUACCGGGGCUAAACUAUACACCGAAAUUGCGGAUUCAUGAGUAAUCAUGAGUGGUAGAGGAGCAUUCUGUUGUAGGAAGAAGUGUGAUCGAAAGGACAUGUGGACGAAGCAGAAGAGAGAAUGCCGGAAUAAGUAGCGAAAGCAUGGUGAGAAUCCAUGCCAUCGAAAGUCUAAGGUUUCCUGGGGAAGGUUCGUCCGCCCAGGGUAAGUCGGGACCUAAGGUGAGGCCGAAAGGCGUAGCCGAUGGACAGCAGGUAGAAAUUCCUGCACUACCGAAAUACUUAAAAGAUGCAAGGGACACAGGAGUGGAAGGAAAGCGAGGAAGAGGAAAGACUCGUAUCGAAAGAUAUAGUGAAAAUUAAAGUAACGAAUUUCCAAGAAGCACACUGGCGAGAAAAGCUUGUAGAUAUUGUAUAGAGGUACCCGUACCGCAAACCGACACAGGUAGAUGAGGAGAGGAUCCUAAGAUGAGCGAGAGAAGCAUUGUUAAGGAACUCGGCAAACCAACCCCGUAACUUAGGGAGAAGGGGUGCCUAUGUAAAAAUAGGCCGCAGAGAAGAGGCCCAAGCAACUGUUUAACAAAAACACAGGUUUCUGCUAAAUCGAAAGAUGAAGUAUAGGAGCUGACGCCUGCCCAGUGCUGGAAGGUUAAGGGAAAAUGUAAGUACAGAAGUAUGAAGCAUAGAACCAAAGCCCCAGUGAACGGCGGCCGUAACUAUAACGGUCCUAAGGUAGCGAAAUUCCUUGUCAGGUAAGUUCUGACCCGCACGAAAGGCGUAAUGAUUUGGGCGCUGUCUCGACAAUGUACUCGGCGAAAUUGUAGUACUAGUGAAGAUGCUAGUUACCUGCGACAAGACAGAAAGACCCCAUGGAGCUUUACUGUAGCUUGAUACUGGGUUUCGAUAAUUUAUGUACAGGAUAGGUGGGAUGCAAAGAAGCAAGUGCGCCAGCAUUUGUGGAGCAGACGUUGGGAUACCACCCUUAAGUUAUUGGAAUUCUAACCUGUAGUCAUGAACUGGCUAGGGGACAAUGUCAGGCGGGCAGUUUGACUGGGGCGGUCGCCUCCAAAAGAGUAACGGAGGCGCGCAAAGGUUUCCUCAGCGCGGACAGAAAUCGCGCAAGAGAGUGCAAAGGCAGAAGGAAGCUUAACUGAGAGACUGACAAGUCGACCAGAUACGAAAGUAGGUCUUAGUGAUCCGGCGGUAGUGAGUGGAAAUGCCGUCGCUCAACGGACAAAAGUUACCCUGGGGAUAACAGGCUUAUCUCCCCCAAGAGUUCACAUCGACGGGGAGGUUUGGCACCUCGAUGUCGGCUCAUCACAUCCUGGAGCGGAAGUACGUUCCAAGGGUUGGGCUGUUCGCCCAUUAAAGUGGUACGCGAGCUGGGUUCAGAACGUCGUGAGACAGUUCGGUCCUUAUCUGUCGCAGGCGCAGGAUAUUUGAGGGGAGUUGACCUUAGUACGAGAGGACCAGGUUGAACUUACCAAUGGUGUAUCAGUUGUCAUACCAAUGGCACGGCUGAGUAGCUAAGUAGGGAAGGGAUAAACGCUGAAAGCAUCUAAGUGUGAAGCCCACCCCAAGAUAAGAUAUCCCAUACCGUAAGGUAGUAAGAUUCCACAAAGACUAUGUGGAGAUAGGUUGGAGGUGUAAGUGCAGUAAUGCAUGUAGCUGACCAAUACUAAUAAAUCGAGGGCUUAACCAC
rnacentral:rRNA from 1 species